rnacentral:rRNA from 1 species
UACGUAGGGUGCAAGCGUUAAUCGGAAUUACUGGGCGUAAAGCGUGCGUAGACGGUAGCGUAAGUCGGGUGUGAAAGCCCCGGGCUCAACCUGGGAAUUGCAUUCGAGACUGCUCUGCUAGGGUGCGGAAGAGGGAAGUGGAACUCCGGGAGUAGCGGUGAAAUGCGUAGAGACCCGGAGGAACACCGGUGGCGAAGGCGGCUUCCUGGUCUGCAACUGACGCUGUGGCGCGAAAGCUAGGGGAGCAAACGGG